UGUAUAUUGACCCAUUAAUGUUCAAUGCUUCUUAUAGGAAAACUUAAUUGCAUAAGUACCUACAGCUCAUUUUUCAUUAGUAUAUAAAUAUGUACUUUUUUGAACCUUAGGUUGUAUACAUUAAAUUGAGCCCUCCUCAGGCAAAGUGUAUCAUUCCACCAUAGGUAAAAUACUGUAAUAUUGUAUCUGUGUUGUCACCUAUUGUAUUAACAUUUAAGUAAUGGAAAGCCACCGAGUGUUUUUUUCCCAACUAAUCUGAUAAUUCAUUGUAUUUUGUGUGCAGUAUAUCAGUAUGGGGAAAAGAAAACACAAAACACCACUAAGUUACAGCAGAAGGCAUUCAAGGAGGCUUGUUCAGCAGAUUACAGAAGAAGAACUUGGAUGUAUUCAGGCAACAGCAGGAUUGCAACUUUCAAGAGCAGAAUUCAGUUCAGCAGGGAGUAGCACUGGCAGCAAUAGUCCUACUAAUAGUGUAGCACAAAGUUGUAUUAAUACUGCAACAAAUGCAGAGGUAGUAGGUCUGAGCCAAGAUACCUAUUGUAAUGUGGGUGACAGUUUUAGUGAUACCAUCCAUUCGUCUGAAUUUUAUAAUGAUAACUUCGAAGAAUCUUGUUUUGUAUUGAACUCCAGUUCUAGUGAUGAUUAUGGUGUUGGUGGUUGUGGCAGUGAUACUGAACACCAGUUUGUAGGUGACUUUGAAAAUGAAGAAAAUUAUGGUAUAAGAAAAGAAAUAGCAUCAUGGGCACUUCAGUUUAAUAUUGCACACAAUGCACUAAAUGGUCUUUUAGCGAUACUGCACAAACAUACACAUUUUUCUUUACCAAAAGAUUCACGAACUCUUCUGAAAACUCCACGAAACACUGACGUUAUUGGUAUACAAGGUGGUCAGUAUUGUCACUUUGGACUAAUGCAUGCAUUGGAAUCAAUAGCCAGAAACAAAAAAAACAUGUCGAAGUUGUUGCCAGCUGAAAUUAAUUUAUUAGUAAAUAUAGAUGGGCUUCCACUAUCUAAAUCAUCUUCGAAAUCUCUUUGGCCAAUUCUUUGCAGUGAUUUAAAUUCACCGUUGGUGUAUGUUGUAGGAGCAUAUUAUGGAAACAGAAAACCAGGGAAUGCAAAUGAAUUUUUGCAGCAUUUUGUAAAUGAUAUUAGUGAUGCAGUUACGAAAGGAUUCAGUUUUGAAGAAAACAACAUAUCAGUAAAACUGGCAGGUCUUGUUUGUGAUGCUCCUGCAAAGGCAUUUGUCCUAUCAGUUAAAAAUCACAAUGGUUAUAACAGUUGUACAAAAUGUGUUGCUGAAGGAACAUACAUUGAGAAUCGUGUGUGUUUUCCGAAAGAAAUAGACAAGGAUUUGAGAACAGAUGAGAAGUUUGCAAUGAAUGUGUAUGAAGAUUAUCAUCUUGGAGAAACUAUACUUGGGUCAAUUCCUAAUUUUGGUUUAGUUUCAGGUGUCCCAUUAGAUUACAUGCACCUUAUUUGUUUGGGAGUUGUGCGGAAACUUAUUUAUCUUUGGAUUGGAGGACCCCUCUCUGUGCGAUUAAAUGGAAAUGCAAUAAAAUAUAUUUCAAACAUGUCUAUGUCCUUGCAAAACACUGUACCUAUUGAAUUUGUUAGGAAACCAAGACCAUUAGCUGAAGUUAAAAAUUGGAAAGCCACUGAAUUUAGGCAGUUUUUAUUGUACACUGGUCCAUUAUUGUUGAAAGAUGUUCUGAGAGCUGACAUGUAUUUGAACUUUUUGACAUUGCAUGUAUCAAUAACAAUACUUGCAAGUCCUACAUUAUCACAGCACAGGAAUUAUAUUGACUAUGCAGAGAGUCUAUUAAAACAUUUUGUGACCUCUUUUGAGGUGAUCUAUGGUGAGGAAUUAGUUUCACACAAUGUGCAUAACCUUCUGCAUAUUUGUGAAGAUGUGAAACAUUAUGGUUCAGUAGAUAAGUUCAGUGCUUUUAAAUUUGAGAACUAUAUGUCUAGUAUCAAGAAAUUGCUCAGAAAAAAUUAAAAGCCACUUGAACAACUAACGAAACAAUUUAGAGAAAGACAAUUGAUUGAAUGGUUUCCAAAAGAGAAAAAAUCUUUUGGUUUUUGUAUGCCACAUAACAGAGGGCCAAUAGUUGAUGAACUUGUUGGCAUGUGUAGUAAACAGUACAGGAAGUUGGUGAAUGAGUUGUUUGAAUUGGAUUCUAGUGAUAAAAAAAACAGUUGUUGUCUUUUAAAAGACAACACAAUAGUUUCGGUGGUAAAUUUUGUGGAAUGUGUAAAUGGUAAUAUUUACAUAAUUGGUGAAAAAUGUGUCUCAUUGGAUAACCUUUUUUCCUCACCUUGUGUCUCACAAAAUUUGAAUAUACAUGUUGUGAAGAAUGAAGGUAAACUGCAUUACUGGCAUGCAAAUGAAUUGACAGGAAAGUUAUGGAAGAUGCCAUAUAAAGAUAACUUUGUUGUGUUUCCUGUUAUUCAUACAUGGUAAUUAUUGUUAUUUUAUCAUGUCCUGCAGGAUUCUAUUUUGUGAGAAAAUGUACAAAAUAAUAGAGUUUGAGGAUGGAUUACAAUUGGUUCCAAUAGCUUGGCUAAAUGAUGAUUCUACUCAUUGUGCAUGGCCAAACUACACAAACCAGCUGAAGAUAAACAAGGCCAUUUCUAGUAUAGAAAACACAGAUGCUUCCUGGAAAUUGCACAAAGUUGUGCGAAUAUUUGGUUCAGCAGAUACGUACGUUAGAGGCGUAGAAAAAUUAAAGCUGGCGGAGAUGAUUUCCGAUGUAGAAAGUUCGUUUUCUGAAGGUGGUGGCAGUCGUACAAAAGUACGACAAAAAAGGGCAAAAAGGUCAUAUUCAAGCUCAGAUGAAUCUGAAAAUGAACCUGCUUCUGUACAACUGCCUGUACUGCCGAAACCACCUCAGUUUGAAAAUACUGUUAAUGUAUUUCCAUCAACUUCAACUGCCAUCAGUGGUCUAAAUGUGAAUUCACAAGAGCACUCGCCAAAAAAUGGGAUGGCAAAAGUAAAUGCAAAUACUGAUUUAUCAACAGAAUUUCAGAAACAUGUAUUGAAAAAGUUAAAUCAACUACUGAAUGCAAUGAGUCAAAUGGAAGAAAGAAUUAAGAACAUUGAGAGUUCUUUGACUACAAAAGAUGACAAUGAAGUCACUAUGGACACUGUUGAUUUACAGUUACCAUGCGUUACUAUUGAAAAGUUUAUAGAGUUUGACACAUCUCUUUGCGAACAAGGACACUUGAAGAAAGUGGUAAACAUCCUCAAGCACGUUGGAGGUGGUAAUGUACAUGACAUCAUAAUAAAUUUGAUGAAGAGAUUAAUGGAGGAUGAAGUGGCAGAACAGUUCAGCUGGGUUGGUGCAAAGGGCAAAAAACCAUUCAAGGAUUUGAAAGCACGGUUCCUGAUUUUAGAGACUCUGCUUGCUCAUGGUAAGCAAUCUACAGAAGUAAAAGUUGGACAUGUGGUGGCUAGAUGGCUUGUGCAGGCAAAGCUAAGGCUGCAAAGAAAGAAUGAAAAAAUCUCAAGAACACCUGCAUGAGGCAGUUAAAAAUUUCAUGUUUUGUAUGUAUAUAAUAUAUAUUUAUAGUUUUUUUUAUUAAAGUAUACUUAUCAGACUA